AGUCGCACGAGAAAGUGGAGCAAUCCAUGAGUAAAGUGGCGCACGGGUGAGUAACACGUGAAUCAUCUACCUCCGAGUGGGGAAUAACCUAGAGAAAUCUGGGCUAAUACCGCAUAGCACUUACGAGUCAAAGCAGCAAUGCGCUUGGAGAGGAGUUCGCGGCCGAUUAGUUAGUUGGCGGGGUAAUGGCCCACCAAGACGAUGAUCGGUAUCCGGCCUGAGAGGGCGCACGGACACACUGGAACUGAAACACGGUCCAGACUCCUACGGGAGGCAGCAGUGGGGAAUUUUGCGCAAUGGGGGAAACCCUGACGCAGCAACGCCGCGUGGAGGAUGAAAUCCCUUGGGAUGUAAACUCCUUUCGAUCGGGACGAUUAUGACGGUACCGGAAGAAGAAGCCCCGGCUAACUUCGUGCCAGCAGCCGCGGUAAUACGAGGGGGGCAAGCGUUGUUCGGAAUUAUUGGGCGUAAAGGGCGCCGUAGGCGGUUUGGCAAGUCUGAUGUGAAAUCUCUGGGCUCAACUCAGAGUCUGCAUCGGAAACUGCCGGGCUUGAGUAUGGGA
rnacentral:rRNA from 1 species